UCAUUCUAACCUAAUUUUUUCUCUUCUCUUCCUCAAUCGCCGCUGAAGAAUAACGACACCAAUCUGCAUCACCAUUCACUAAACCUACCUCACUCUAAAACUAUUAUCAUUCAUUCAACAACACCUCUCUCCUCUUCUUUUUCUCUUCUCUGGUUGUUCGGAUCCAACUCGAGGAAAGAAACAAAUUGGGGGUUAGGGUUUGCACUUUUCAGAAAAUUUUCAAAGUCGAAUUUCCAUAGCAAUGGCUUCCACAAAGAAGAUCACUCUCAAGAGUUCUGAUGGCGAGUCAUUUGAGGUUGUCAAAGCUGUGGCUUUGGAAUUCCCAGUUCUAAUUUUUUUCCUUUUCGAAUUUUUCAAUCCGUCGUAACGGAAUGGUCCAACGACCUCAUCGCCUUCAUCUCAGAAGCUCACGAGCUUCAUCCACCGCACGCAUGCACCUCACCACAUUCGGAAAAAGACAUUUGACUCACCGCCGGUCAAGAAGUACAGGUCAAUGGAGGAUAUAUUGGCGAGGGCGAAGUACGCGGUGGUGGAGAAUGAGGAUUACGGUAGCCUCAUGUGCGAGCAAUGUGGCAUCGGGGAGCAGCCGGAGGAGCUGCUGUUGUGCGACAAAAGUGACAAAGGAUUCCAUAUGAAAUAUGUGAGGCCGAUUGUUGUGAGGAUUCCGAUUGGUUCCUGGAUUUUCCCUAAGUGUUCAGGGGUGAAGAAAGUGAAAAUUCACGCAAAGGAGAAUACUUGAUUUCUUCGGGCUUCCAAGGAAUUUGCCUGAUUUCAGAAGGAAUAAUUCUUCUUCUCGGGCGGUGUCAUAGAUGUACAAGACUCAAAUUAUGUAGUAGGAGAAAAAGAUGUAAUUUGGAUGCUGCAGUUGGUCCUACCUUAUUUGAAUUAAUUCUUGUCCAAACUUAAAGCACCUUUCUCAGGAGAUCUUGGUACAACAAUGAAGUUGGCCAUUUUUCUGUUUGUUUUGGCUAGAUAUGGCAGUUUCAUAACUAUAUGGAAGAUGGCCAACUUCGGUUUUCUAGAAACAUCGUGAUUGGUAUAGAAGGUGUUCUCGAGUUAUCUAAAAGAGGUUUCUCCCGCCGGCAUCACUCUUUCGAUGGAUGGUUUUGUUUUACCAUCGUUUGAGUCUAGUAUUUUGAAGGAUAAAGACAUUGUGUGGUGAGUUUUAUUUUUUAUCUGUAGCAGUUAUUUUUGUGGAUGUAUCUAAAAGACAAAUUAUAUUUGCCUUUUGUAGUUGUUUCUGUGGAUGUAUCUUGUUAGUUUGAUUCCAUUAUUUUUGUAAGGAUUGUGUCUUGGUACACGUGUCACUAGUGCUAAGUUAGAACAGAGUAGUAUGAACUCAUUUUAUGUCUUUUAUGUUUAUAAUUCAUGAAAUCUAGUGCAAAUUUAUGUGUCACAAUGGUAUGAUUGGCUUAACCUGUAUUGUGGCAAGUAACUUAUACUUUCAGGGAAGAUCAUCUUUGCUUAAAAGGUUGGGCACAUUUAAGGUCACUGAAGUUAGCCAGAGAGAUUCUAGUAAUAAUGAUAUUCUGGAAGAGCCUGUUAGCAUCACCGGCCUUGAAACAUUUUCACUAAGUUAUAAGGUGCACUAGCCAUUGUCUAUAGUAUUAUCACGUAAAGCCCUUAUAAAUUACCAGCUAAUUUGUCGAUUUCUUUUCCACUGCAAACAUGUUGACCGUCAGCUAUGUGGAGCCUGGCAAACACAUCAAGUAUGGCUAUGAUUGCCUUUGCUUCACUUUGUGUUUUGUGUUUAAUUCGUCUUACCUUCAUCUUUGGUCCCAUAUUGUAGAAAGUGUAACAUUUUCUGUCUGAAACAAGUUAUUCAACAUCAUGAUUUUUUCCUUGAUAA